AAAUGACCGUGGCACUGUAAGCUGAUUCCAAGUUUUGAGAACUUAUGCAGAGCUCAACAGGUGGACACAUUCCAUUAUUAAGUAAUUGAGGUCUAACCUGGCACCAACCACGCUCCCAGCGCUGCGUCCCCAGGAGGCCUCCUCAGGUACAAGGCGCCCAGAUAAUGGAGUGAGCGGCGCUAAACUCGCACCGACAGAGCGGGCUCCCCCGGCCUUAAUGAGAUAAUCAAUACUUGUUCUCGGCUUAAUUUCCAUCUAAUUGCUCUUUAACGACGCCGGAUAAUGGGCCGCCUCCUGUGAGGAGAGAGCUGGCUGGGAAUCCGACCCGCCUCGGCCUCCCGCCCCUCCUCCCCCGGGCCGGUGCCCUCGCGCAGGUGGGAUGGGGGCGCACCACGCUCCCCGUCGGGGCUGGAGCUCCGUCCGCCAGCCUCCUCGCCCCGCGCCGCCGCCUGCCUGCGGUGUUCUCGGCUUGGAAUGCGGGAUCCCCGUCAAGCUGCCGGGGUCUGGCCUCUGGGCCACUCACCUGACUGGCCCGCGGAACUGCGCGGUGCCCUCGCCCCCUGACGGCGCCUCAUCCUCCCUGCUGCCCGCGGAGCCAGGCAAGUCGCGCGGAGCCCGGGGGCCCGAGGUGAAGGGCCUCUGGACAAGCCCUUUCCUCCUUUCCUUUCCCACCUUCAUGCACUGCGCGGGGCGGUGGCCUUUGAGGCCUUAGGUAAAUUGCUGUUUCUGCACCUAAGAAG
rnacentral:lncRNA from 1 species